rnacentral:rRNA from 1 species
AUUGAACGCUGGCGGCAUGCUUUACACAUGCAAGUCGAGCGGCAGCGCGGGGGCAACCCUGGCGGCGAGCGGCGAACGGGUGAGUAAUGCAUCGGAACGUAUCCUGUAGUGGGGAAUAACUCACCGAAAGGUGAGCUAAUACCGCAUAAGCUCUGAGGAGGAAAGCGGGGGGACCGAAAGGCCUCGCGCUGCAGGAGCGGCCGAUGUCCGAUUAGCUAGUUGGUGAGGUAAAGGCUCACCAAGGCGACGAUCGGUAGCUGGUCUGAGAGGAUGAUCAGCCACACUGGAACUGAGACACGGUCCAGACUCCUACGGGAGGCAGCAGUGGGGAAUUUUGGACAAUGGGCGCAAGCCUGAUCCAGCCAUUCCGCGUGCAGGAUGAAGGCCU